rnacentral:lncRNA from 1 species
UGAUUUUAAUGAUGUUUUAGGUUUUUUAAAUUUUUAUGUAUUUUUUUAUGUUUUAAAUAGGUUUUUUAAAUUUUUAUGUAUUUUUUUAUGUUUUAAAUAGGUUUUUAAAUUUUAUGUUUAAUCCAGUAUUUAAAUAUGCAAUUUAAAUUAUGCAAUAAAAUUUAAAUGAAAAACAUAAAAUCAAAACUAAUAUUAUCAAGGAGGCUAUCAAGGAACCCCAAUGCAGCACUACCUAC